rnacentral:rRNA from 1 species
AGAGUUUGAUCAUGGCUCAGACUGAACGCUGGCGGCAUGCUUUACACAUGCAAGUCGAGCGGCAGCGCGGGGGCAACCCUGGCGGCGAGCGGCGAACGGGUGAGGAAUACAUCGGAACGUGCCCGAGAGUGGGGGAUAACGCCGCGAAAGCGGCGCUAAUACCGCAUAUUCUCCGAGGAGGAAAGUGGGGGACCGCAAGCCUCACGCUCACGGAGCGGCCGAUGUCGGAUUAGCUAGUUGGUGGGGUAAAGGCCCACCAAGGCGACGAUCCGUAGCUGGUCUGAGAGGAUGAUCAGCCACACUGGGACUGAGACACGGCCCAGACUCCUACGGGAGGCAGCAGUGGGGAAUUUUGGACAAUGGGGGCAACCCUGAUCCAGCCAUGCCGCGUGCGGGAAGAAGGCCUUCGGGUUGUAAACCGCUUUUUAGUCGGGAAGAAAAGAUACGGGUUAAUACUCCGUGUUCUUGACGGUACCGGCGGAAUAAGCACCGGCUAACUACGUGCCAGCAGCCGCGGUAAUACGUAGGGUGCGAGCGUUAAUCGGAAUUACUGGGCGUAAAGCGUGCGCAGGCGGUUCGUUAAGUUCGAUGUGAAAGCCCCGGGCUCAACCUGGGAACUGCAUUGGAAACUGGCGAGCUUGAGUAUGGCAGAGGGGGGGUGGAAUUCCGCGUGUAGCAGUGAAAUGCGUAGAGAUGCGGAGGAACACCGAUGGCGAAGGCAGCCCCCUGGGCCAAUACUGACGCUCAGGCACGAAAGCGUGGGGAGCAAACAGGAUUAGAUACCCUAGUAGUCC